CAGUCGCCACGGUAAUACGGAGGGUGCAAGCGUUAAUCGGAAUUACUGGGCGUAAAGCGCACGCAGGCGGUCUGACAAGUCAGAUGUGAAAUCCCCGGGCUUAACCUGGGAACUGCAUUUGAAACUGUCAGGCUGGAGUCUUGUAGAGGGGGGUAGAAUUCCAGGUGUAGCGGUGAAAUGCGUAGAGAUCUGGAGGAAUACCGGUGGCGAAGGCGGCCCCCUGGACAAAGACUGACGCUCAGGUGCGAAAGCGUGGGGAGCAAACAGGAUUAGAUACCCCAGUAGUCCCCUGUCUCUUAUA
rnacentral:rRNA from 1 species